ACAGCAGCAGCCGCGGGAACACGUAGGGUGCAAGCGUUAAUCGGAACUACUGGGCGUAAAGCGUGCGCAGGCGGUUUGUUAAGACAGAUGUGAAAUCCCCGGGCUCAACCUGGGAACUGCAUUUGUGACUGUAUAGCUAGAGUACGGCAGAGGGGGAUGGAAUUCCGCGUGUAGCAGUGAAAUGCGUAGAUAUGCGGAGGAACACCGAUGGCGAAGGCAAUCCCCUGGGCCUGUACUGACGCUCAUGCACGAAAGCGUGGGGAGCAAACAGGAUUAGAUACCCCCGUAGUCCCUGUCUCUUAUAC
rnacentral:rRNA from 1 species